rnacentral:rRNA from 1 species
AUUGAACGCUGGCGGCAGGCCUAACACAUGCAAGUCGAGCGGAUGAAGGGAGCUUGCUCCUGGAUUCAGCGGCGGACGGGUGAGUAAUGCCUAGGAAUCUGCCUGGUAGUGGGGGAUAACGUCCGGAAACGGGCGCUAAUACCGCAUACGUCCUGAGGGAGAAAGUGGGGGAUCUUCGGACCUCACGCUAUCAGAUGAGCCUAGGUCGGAUUAGCUAGUUGGUGGGGUAAAGGCCUACCAAGGCGACGAUCCGUAACUGGUAGGACAGGAUGAUCAGUCACACUGGAACUGAGGCAGGGACCAGGCUCCUACGGGAAGCGACGGAGGGGAAUAUUAGAGAGUGGGGGAAAGCGUUAUCCAGCGUUGCUGCGUGUGUCAAGAAGGCCUUGCGAUCGGAAAGCACUAUUCGUCGGGAGUAAGUGCAGUAAGUUAAAAACUUGAUUUUUUGACGUUACCAGCAGAAUAAGCUCCGGCUAACUUCGUG